rfam:Bacillus sp. FJAT-27231 Scaffold1, whole genome shotgun sequence.
UGACAGCGAUGAUGCAGAAGGUUGCUGACACACCCGGCCGCUUUGCCAUGGCGAGUGUCGCCAGGAUAUUUCUGCGGAGAAUGUCUAUUAGCAAAUAGGCGGAAAAGGAGGGAAAAUAAUGGCAA